UCAUGUUAUCGAUAUGUGAAUACAUAGCAUAUCAGAAGGCACACCCGGAGAACUGAAACAUCUUAGUACCCGGAGGAAGAGAAAGAAAAUUCGAUUCCCUUAGUAGCGGCGAGCGAAACGGGAAGAGCCCAAACCAACAAGCUUGCUUGUUGGGGUUGUAGGACACUCUAUACGGAGUUACAAAGGACGACAUUAGACGAAUCAUCUGGAAAGAUGAAUCAAAGAAGGUAAUAAUCCUGUAGUCGAAAAUGUUGUCUCUCUUGAGUGGAUCCUGAGUACGACGGAGCACGUGAAAUUCCGUCGGAAUCUGGGAGGACCAUCUCCUAAGGCUAAAUACUCUCUAGUGACCGAUAGUGAACCAGUACCGUGAGGGAAAGGUGAAAAGCACCCCGGAAGGGGAGUGAAAUAGAACCUGAAACCGUGUGCUUACAAGUAGUCAGAGCCCGUUAAUGGGUGAUGGCGUGCCUUUUGUAGAAUGAACCGGCGAGUUACGAUUUGAUGCAAGGUUAAGCAGUAAAUGUGGAGCCGUAGCGAAAGCGAGUCUGAAUAGGGCGUUUAGUAUUUGGUCGUAGACCCGAAACCAGGUGAUCUACCCUUGGUCAGGUUGAAGUUCAGGUAACACUGAAUGGAGGACCGAACCGACUUACGUUGAAAAGUGAGCGGAUGAACUGAGGGUAGCGGAGAAAUUCCAAUCGAACCUGGAGAUAGCUGGUUCUCUCCGAAAUAGCUUUAGGGCUAGCCUCAAGUGAUGAUUAUUGGAGGUAGAGCACUGUUUGGACGAGGGGCCCCUCUCGGGUUACCGAAUUCAGACAAACUCCGAAUGCCAAUUAAUUUAACUUGGGAGUCAGAACAUGGGUGAUAAGGUCCGUGUUCGAAAGGGAAACAGCCCAGACCACCAGCUAAGGUCCCAAAAUAUAUGUUAAGUGGAAAAGGAUGUGGCGUUGCCCAGACAACUAGGAUGUUGGCUUAGAAGCAGCCAUCAUUUAAAGAGUGCGUAAUAGCUCACUAGUCGAGUGACACUGCGCCGAAAAUGUACCGGGGCUAAACAUAUUACCGAAGCUGUGGAUUGUCCUUUGGACAAUGGUAGGAGAGCGUUCUAAGGGCGUUGAAGCAUGAUCGUAAGGACAUGUGGAGCGCUUAGAAGUGAGAAUGCCGGUGUGAGUAGCGAAAGACGGGUGAGAAUCCCGUCCACCGAUUGACUAAGGUUUCCAGAGGAAGGCUCGUCCGCUCUGGGUUAGUCGGGUCCUAAGCUGAGGCCGACAGGCGUAGGCGAUGGAUAACAGGUUGAUAUUCCUGUACCACCUAUAAUCGUUUUAAUCGAUGGGGGGACGCAGUAGGAUAGGCGAAGCGUGCGAUUGGAUUGCACGUCUAAGCAGUAAGGCUGAGUAUUAGGCAAAUCCGGUACUCGUUAAGGCUGAGCUGUGAUGGGGAGAAGACAUUGUGUCUUCGAGUCGUUGAUUUCACACUGCCGAGAAAAGCCUCUAGAUAGAAAAUAGGUGCCCGUACCGCAAACCGACACAGGUAGUCAAGAUGAGAAUUCUAAGGUGAGCGAGCGAACUCUCGUUAAGGAACUCGGCAAAAUGACCCCGUAACUUCGGGAGAAGGGGUGCUCUUUAGGGUUAACGCCCAGAAGAGCCGCAGUGAAUAGGCCCAAGCGACUGUUUAUCAAAAACACAGGUCUCUGCUAAACCGUAAGGUGAUGUAUAGGGGCUGACGCCUGCCCGGUGCUGGAAGGUUAAGAGGAGUGGUUAGCUUCUGCGAAGCUACGAAUCGAAGCCCCAGUAAACGGCGGCCGUAACUAUAACGGUCCUAAGGUAGCGAAAUUCCUUGUCGGGUAAGUUCCGACCCGCACGAAAGGCGUAACGAUUUGGGCACUGUCUCAACGAGAGACUCGGUGAAAUCAUAGUACCUGUGAAGAUGCAGGUUACCCGCGACAGGACGGAAAGACCCCGUGGAGCUUUACUGUAGCCUGAUAUUGAAAUUCGGCACAGCUUGUACAGGAUAGGUAGGAGCCUUUGAAACGUGAGCGCUAGCUUACGUGGAGGCGCUGGUGGGAUACUACCCUAGCUGUGUUGGCUUUCUAACCCGCACCACUUAUCGUGGUGGGAGACAGUGUCAGGCGGGCAGUUUGACUGGGGCGGUCGCCUCCUAAAAGGUAACGGAGGCGCUCAAAGGUUCCCUCAGAAUGGUUGGAAAUCAUUCAUAGAGUGUAAAGGCAUAAGGGAGCUUGACUGCGAGACCUACAAGUCGAGCAGGGUCGAAAGACGGACUUAGUGAUCCGGUGGUUCCGCAUGGAAGGGCCAUCGCUCAACGGAUAAAAGCUACCCCGGGGAUAACAGGCUUAUCUCCCCCAAGAGUUCACAUCGACGGGGAGGUUUGGCACCUCGAUGUCGGCUCAUCGCAUCCUGGGGCUGUAGUCGGUCCCAAGGGUUGGGCUGUUCGCCCAUUAAAGCGGUACGCGAGCUGGGUUCAGAACGUCGUGAGACAGUUCGGUCCCUAUCCGUCGUGGGCGUAGGAAAUUUGAGAGGAGCUGUCCUUAGUACGAGAGGACCGGGAUGGACAUACCUCUGGUGUACCAGUUGUCGUGCCAACGGCAUAGCUGGGUAGCUAUGUGUGGACGGGAUAAGUGCUGAAAGCAUCUAAGCAUGAAGCCCCCCUCAAGAUGAGAUUUCCCAACUUCGGUUAUAAGAUCCCUCAAAGAUGAUGAGGUUAAUAGGUUCGAGGUGGAAGCAUGGUGACAUGUGGAGCUGACGAAUACUAAUCGAUCGAAGACUUAAUCAA
rnacentral:rRNA from 2 species